UUACUAGAGUAGCACUCGCAUAUCAAUAAGCGGAGGAAAAGAUACUAACAAGGAUUCCCCUAGUAACGGCGAGUGAAGCGGGAAGAGCUCAAAUUUGAAAUCUUAAAGGGUUUCCCUUACGAAUUGUAGUUUAAAGAAGUGUUUUCUGUUGAGGUUUUGGUAAAAGUUCUUUGGAAUAGGACAUCAUAGAGGGUGAGAAUCCCGUAUUUGACCUUUACUUUCAACUUUGUGAUACACUUUCAAAGAGUCGGAUUGUUUGGGAAUGCAGUCCAAAAUGGGUGGUAAAUUUCAUCUAAAGCUAAAUAUUGGCGAGAGACCGAUAGCGAACAAGUACCGUGAGGGAAAGAUGAAAAGAACUUUGAAAAGAGAGUUAAACAGUACGUGAAAUUGUCAAAAGGGAAACGCUUGACACCAGUGUUGUUUUUCUGAAAAUCAAUUAAAGAACUGUUUAUGCUAAGCUGUUUAGACUUUAUCAGCUAUCUGUUUAGUUUUGAGCUUUUCUUUAAUGCACUUUUCAGUUAACAAGUCAACAUCAAUUUCUUUUGCUGUAAAAAAGCUUGAGGAAGGUGGCUUGAGAUUCGUCUUAAGUGUUUAUAGCCUCUUGCCUAUGCAGUCGGAGAGAUUGAGGUCUGCAGCGUAGAUCCUUCGGGGCUAAAUGCAUUUGUGCUAAGUUAUAGCAUUUUAUAGACAACUUGUUGACUAUGAUUUGUCUUGUAGCUUACUCGCUUAUGUUAUUUUACCUACGCUUAGGAUGUUGAGCGCAUGUCUCUCUCU
rnacentral:rRNA from 1 species